rnacentral:tRNA from 1 species
GCGCCCUUAGCUCAGCUGGAUAGAGCAACGGCCUUCUAAGCCGUAGGUCACAGGUUCGAACCCUGUAGGGCGCGCCA